GAUGAACGCUGGCGGCGUGCCUAAUACAUGCAAGUCGAGCGAGCGGACGAGAAGCUUGCUUCUCUGAUGUUAGCGGCGGACGGGUGAGUAACACGUGGAUAACCUACCUAUAAGACUGGGAUAACUUCGGGAAACCGGAGCUAAUACCGGAUAAUAUUUUGAACCGCAUGGUUCAAAAGUGAAAGACGGUCUUGCUGUCACUUAUAGAUGGAUCCGCGCUGCAUUAGCUAGUUGGUAAGGUAACGGCUUACCAAGGCAACGAUGCAUAGCCGACCUGAGAGGGUGAUCGGCCACACUGGAACUGAGACACGGUCCAGACUCCUACGGGAGGCAGCAGUAGGGAAUCUUCCGCAAUGGGCGAAAGCCUGACGGAGCAACGCCGCGUGAGUGAUGAAGGUCUUCGGAUCGUAAAACUCUGUUAUUAGGGAAGAACAUAUGUGUAAGUAACUGUGCACAUCUUGACGGUACCUAAUCAUAAAGCCACGGCUAACUACGUG
rnacentral:rRNA from 1 species